CCAGCAGCCGCGGUAAUUCCAGCUCUAAUAGUGUAUAUUAAAGUUGUUGCAGUUAAAAAGCUCGUAGUUGAAUGUUGGUGUCGAACGAGCGGUCAGCUUCGGCUGUACUGCUCUCUCGACUCCUUCCUUCUGUGGACUACGUCGCACUUUACUGUGUGGCGCUAGGACGCAGAUCGUUUACUGUGAAAAAAUUAGAGUGUUCAAAGCAGGCCGUACGCUUGAAUACAUUAGCAUGGAAUAAUGGAAUAGGACGUCGGGCCUAUUUUGUUGGUUCUAGGACCGUCGUAAUGAUUAAUAGGGACAGUUGGGGCCGUUUAUAUUCCGUAGUCAGAGGUGAAAUUCUU
rnacentral:rRNA from 1 species